AUUGAAUUAACUUUUUAAUGGCAAAUUUCCUGCUUUUAGGCCUGAAAUUCUUUCAGUAUCAUCUCAAGAACUAUGAGAUGCACCCCUCGCAGG
rnacentral:sRNA from 1 species